UGGGGAAUAUUGCACAAUGGGCGCAAGCCUGAUGCAGCCAUGCCGCGUGUAUGAAGAAGGCCUUCGGGUUGUAAAGUACUUUCAGCGGGGAGGAAGGGAGUAAAGUUAAUACCUUUGCUCAUUGACGUUACCGACAGAAGAAGCACCGGCUAACUCCGUGCCAGCAGCCGCGGUAAUACGGAGGGUGCAAGCGUUAAUCGGAAUUACUGGGCGUAAAGCGCACGCAGGCGGUUUGUUAAGUCAGAUGUGAAAUCCCCGGGCUCAACCUGGGACCUGCAUCUGAUACUGGCAAGCUUGAGUCUCGUAGAGGGGGGUAGAAUUCCAGGUGUAGCGGUGAAAUGCGUAGAGAUCUGGAGGAAUACCGGUGGCGAAGGCGGCCCCCUGGACAAAGACUGACGCUCAGGUGCGAAAGCGUGGGGAGCAAACAGG
rnacentral:rRNA from 1 species